rnacentral:rRNA from 1 species
AGACGGAGGGAGCAAGCGUUGCUCGGAAUUACUGGGCGUAAAGAGCGUGUAGGCGGCUAAUUAAGUCUGGUGUGAAAGCCCGGGGCUCACCCCCGGAAGUGCGCUGGAAACUGGUUAGCUAGAGUAUGGGAGAGGGAAGUGGAAUUCCUGGUGUAGCGGUGAAAUGCGUAGAUAUCAGGAGGAACACCGGCGGCGAAGGCGGCUUCCUGGACCAAUACUGACGCUGAGACGCGAAAGCGUGGGGAGCAAACAGGAUUAGAAACCCUGGUAGUCC